AACAAUAGCAACAACAAUGACAACAGUCAGUGACCAACAGACAGACCGCACGUUUGGCUACCUCGACUCACACAUUGUGCCACUCUGUUCGUUACUGUCGUUAUUGCUUUAUUUGCAAUUACAACUUCCACUAUCAUUCGCAACUCUUCAUUUCGGAACAUUUAGUUCGACAGAGCGCUUCACACUUCAUCACUCACAUCACCCACUAAAACGUAUGCACGAAGUGUCUUGGCUACUUGCUUAACUUUUCUCUAAUUUGCGCUGCUCGCAGUCGUUUUGACCUAUUGGUGGAUACUUUUAGGAUGUGAGAUCUUGACCAAUAGCAGCGAUUAUUAUCAAAAAUACUUUGCUCUUUACGCUUGGACUUGGUCUACAAUAUUCAAGUUUCAUGCUUCUUCUUGUGUGAUCUCAAUCGCAUGCAGCAUGGCAUAUAAACACCGAAAACUAUUCGUAUCGAAAGCACACGUUCUGUUAUUAUUACCACCUGAUUACGAUGUGUCUACGAGUGCAUAACGAACUACAUAAAUACACACAUGCAAAGUGUACGACUUCGUAAGUACUAUAUGUAUUGACCCAGUGAGGAAAAUAACAGGUGACACUUUGGUGCCCUUUUUGAUGACAUUCAUAACCAGCUGAUGAUUUGGUCUGGACCUGAACUCAAAUUGAGGUGCUAUAAACAAGAUCUUAUACAAGUAUAUUUAUUCUUUAUUGGUAUUUAAACAUAAUGAUUAUUACUACUUCUCUUGUUUUUUGGAAUUUUGUCGUACUUAUUCUUCGUGCUAUGCCGAAAGUGGAUGGAUCUGCAUCAUUAAGUCUCAUUAAAUCGGCUAAUGGAUUUUAGAUCAGCAAAACCCUCUGAAGUUUAUCUUACCUACCGAAGCACAUGUAUGUACAUUUGGUCAUAUUUCGUUCCACUGAGUGCUAAGCACAUACUAAGCCUACGAACGGUAUUCACAAAUACUCUUUAGUGACAAAUUUGGUAUUUCUAGACUAAUUCUAAAUAAUUUACUCGUAAACGUUUCCAUCAUCCCAAAAUUUCCUACAAGGUAAUCAUAGGUACGAGCUGAACGAACGCACAUUGCGCAAACAAAUUACAACUGCUACGUAUGCGUGUGUUUGUAUACAUGAAUGCGGGUACGUAAGUGUGUCCAAUUGAAUGCCGAUUCGUAUAGUUAAGAAUUUCGAAACGACCUAUGACAAUAUUUAGUUGCCUAAUCACAAAAUAGAGUUA